UCCCUGGUGGCUCAGUGGCAAAGAAUCUGCCUGCAGUGCAGAAGACCCAGGUUCGAAUUCUGGGUCAGGAAG
rnacentral:tRNA from 1 species